rnacentral:rRNA from 1 species
AGCGAACGCUGGCGGCAGGCCUAACACAUGCAAGUCGAGCGCCGUAGCAAUACGGAGCGGCAGACGGGAGAGUAACACGUGGGAACGUGCCCUUUGGUUCGGAACAACCCAGGGAAACUUGGGCUAAUACCGGAUAAGCCCUUACGGGGAAAGAUUUAUCGCCGAAGGAUCGGCCCGCGUCUGAUUAGCUAGUUGGUGGGGUAAUGGCCCACCAAGGCGACGAUCAGUAGCUGGUCUGAGAGGAUGAUCAGCCUCACUGGGACUGAGACACGGCCCAGACUCCUACGGGAGGCAGCAGUGGGGAAUAUUGGACAAUGGGCGCAAGCCUGAUCCAGCCAUGCCGCGUGGGUGAUGAAGGCCCUAGGGUUGUAAAGCCCUUUCGGCGGGGAAGAUAAUGACGGUACCCGCAGAAGAAGCCCCGGCUAACUUCGUGCCAGCAGCCGCGGUAAUACGAAGGGGGCUAGCGUUGCUCGGAAUCACUGGGCGUAAAGCGCACGUAGGCGGAUUGCUAAGUCAGGGGUGAAAUCCUGGAGCUCAACUCCAGAACUGCCUUUGAUACUGGCGAUCUC